GGCGCUGUCGUCUAGAGGCCUAGGACAGGUCCCUUUCAAGGACCAUACACGGGUUCGAAUCCCGUCAGCGCCA
rfam:Verrucomicrobia subdivision 6 bacterium BACL9 MAG-120924-bin69 contig00664_1_120924-bin69, whole genome shotgun sequence.